AAGCAAGUGAACAAACAAAACAAUCAGAAAUACCAACAAGAAAAAGGUCCAGCGGGCCUUUUUCUUUUGUUUGUGGCCUUUCUUUGGCAGAAUACUAUUUCCGGAACUCCCGGACGCGCAGUGAACCAGACCCAGCAAGAAGAAGCCUGAGUGAACGUCCAAUCCAGGCCGUCGUUCGGUGUCAGCGACGACGCCAUCUUUCUCCGACCAUCUGCCGGCCAGAGCCGGUUCAAUCCCGUCGACCGUUGUGCGACGACGCCAUCUUCAAUCCCAUCAUCCUCCGGCCAAAGCCAGUGU